rnacentral:rRNA from 1 species
GACGAACGCUGGCGGCGUGCUUAACACAUGCAAGUCGAACGGAAAGGCCCUGCUUUUGUGUGGUGCUCGAGUGGCGAACGGGUGAGUAACACGUGAGUAACCUGCCCUUGACUGUGGGAUAACUUCAGGAAACUGGGGCUAAUACCGGAUAGGUGCUCCUGCUGCAUGGUGGGGGUUGGAAAGUUUCGGCGGUUGUGGAUGGACUGUCGGCUUAUCAGCUUGUUGGUGGGGUAGUCGCUUACCAAGGGUUUGACGGGUAGCCGGCCUGAGAGGGUGAACGGCGACCUGGGGACUACGGGAGGCAGCAGUGGGGAACGGGAGACAGUGGGCGAGAGUAUGGUACAGUCAGGGGACGUGUGUGAAAGAGGUCCUCGGAGUGGGAAGCAGGUUAAGGUGGUGGAAAGGGCAGUCAGCUAAGACCUUGCGUGAGUGACGGUAAUAGCAGAAGAAGCACCGGCUAACUACGUG